UUAUUGCGUUAGGGAUAAAAGUGAAAAGCCCGCAGCAAUAGCGAGGACUUAAAACGUAUAGCCCGACCGAAG
rnacentral:misc_RNA from 1 species